CAUAAUAUUUUAUUUACAAAUAGAUAAUGCGUUAUUAAACUAUUUAGCAGUUUAAUUAAAUGCCAAUAAAAAUACAGAGCCUUUUUUUUUAAUACAUUCAAUUUAGUUGUCUAAGACAGUUGUAAGUUGUAUUAAAACAAGGUUUUUACUUAAUAUAAAUAAUAUAUUAAGUAUAAAUUUAAGACAAUUAAGUUAUAUUAAGACAAUGUCUUAAUCAUAAUAUAUAUUUUAUUUAUUUGAAUGGAAAGUCUUUUAGUUUGUUGUGGAACUAGACUAGAAAUUACCUAAUAAGCUUCUUAUAACUUGUGUAAUGUGUUUCUUUUACGAAUUUGUAUAUUGGUAUAAUCAUAUCAUGCUAUUCCUACAAUAUUAUAACUAACACUGGCUCUCAUAAGUUUGAGUCUCAAGUCACGAAAAAGGGCCAACUCUCACGUUUUGGCGGAAAGUUACCAAAAUAUGUUAAGGACUUAUUUCAGAGAUAAUGUUGCUAAACGAUUUACAGUCGAUAAUCUUUCGAAAGCAGAAAAACUCAGGUUAGCAUCAAUUAGAAAGUUAGCGCAAUUUCUGUUUCAAACAAAGAAUACGCGAAUUAUUUGAGAUAUGAUUGAAAUUUGCAAAGAAAGUAAAAAUCAAACUAGUUUCAUUCUAAGUUAUUGUAUAUAAUUUUAAAAUUUUGGAAUAGAAGUGAUGCAAUGUUUAUUUA
rnacentral:lncRNA from 1 species